GGAUAGCUCAAGUGGUAGAGCACAUGCUUAUCAUGCCUGAGGUCCUGGGUUCAAUCCUCAGUAUAUCCU
rnacentral:tRNA from 1 species